rnacentral:rRNA from 1 species
CCAAUAGCGUAUAUUAAAGUUGUUGCAGUUAAAAAGCUCGUAGUUGAAUUUCGGGGCCAGUAGGUUGGUCGUGCCACUGGUAUGCACUGGCCUCACUGGUCCCUCCUUCUUGUAGAACCGUGAUGGCAUUAAUUUGUUGUUGCGGGGAAACAGGACUGUUACUUUGAAAAAAUUAGAGUGCUUAAAGCAGGCUCGCGCUUGAAUACAUUAGCAUGGAAUAACGAAAUAGGACGAUCGAACCUAUUUUGUUGGUUUCUAGGAUCGACGUAAUGAUUAAUAGGGAUAGUUGGGGGCAUUAGUAUUCAAUUGUCAGAGGUGAAAUUCUUGGAUUUAUUGAAGACUAACUACUGCGAAAGCAUUUGCCAAGGAUGUUUUCAUUAAUCAAGAACGAAAGUUAGGGGAUCGAAGACGAUCAGAUACCGUCGUAGUCUUAACCAUAAACUAUGCCGACUAGGGAUCGGAUGAAGUUAAUUUUUUAAUGACUCAUUCGGCGCCUUACG